UGACCAUUUAAUUAAAGCAUUAUGAAGGCCUGUAGUAUGUGUUUAUGUGAUGUGAUUUCUGCCCAGUGCCUGGCAUGUCAAAGUGAAGAAAUUCAAUGAAGUGCAGUAGAUGGUGGGAGUGACUUGGGAUUUUCUUAAGAAGGGACUGUGGUUGCUAAAUGGGCUCUGCUGCAGAGGUUGCAG
rnacentral:ncRNA from 1 species